rnacentral:rRNA from 1 species
CCGCCCGUCACACCACGAAAGCUGAUUCUACCAGAAGCCGGUGUGCUGACCUCACGGAGGCAGCCGUCCAAGGUAUGAUCGGUGAUUGGGGUG